rnacentral:rRNA from 1 species
AGCGAACGCUGGCGGCAGGCCUAACACAUGCAAGUCGAACGAACCUAGCGGGGUUAGUGGCGGACGGGGGGGCGACAGGUGGGGAAGUGCCUUUAGGUCUGGAAGAACGCAGGGAAACAUGUGCGAAUACGGGAGGUGAUCUUCGGGGGGACGGUUGGGCGCCUUUAGAGGGGCCCGCGACUGCAUAGCUAGUUGGUAGAGGUAAUGGCUCACCAAGGCGACGUUGAGAAGCGUGUCUGAGAGGAUGGUCCGCCACAUUGGGACUGAGACACGGCCCAAACUCCUACGGGAGGCACCAGUGGGGGAUCUUGCGCAAUGGGCUAAAGCCUGACGCAGCCAUGCCGCGUGAAUGAUGAAGGUCUUAGGAUUGUAAAAUUCUUUCACCGGGUACGAUAAUGACGUUACCCGGAGAAUAAGCCCCGGCUAACUUCGUG